AGGAUUAACGCUGGCGGCGUGCCUGACACAUUCAAGUCGAACGAGGCCGCAAGGCCGAGUGGCGGACGGGUGAGUAACACGUGACCAACCAACCUCGAAGUUGGGAAUAGCUCUGCGAAAGUAGGGGUAAUACCGAAUGUGGCCCAGGGCGGGCAUCCGCCUUGGUCUAAAGAUUCAUCGCUUCGAGACGGGGUCGCGGCCUAUUAGCUUGUUGGUGAGGUAACGGCUCACCAAGGCGAUGAUGGGUAGCUGGUCUGAGAGGACGACCAGCCACACUGGGACUGAGACACGGCCCAGACUCCUACGGGAGGCAGCAGUGAGGAAUCUUCCGCAAUGGGCGAAAGCCUGACGGAGCAACGCCGCGUGUGGGAUGAAGACUCUAGGGUUGUAAACCACUGUCGGAGGGACGAUCGUGACGGUACCCUCCAAGAAAGCCCCGGCUAACUACGCGCCAGCAGCCGC
rnacentral:rRNA from 1 species